GGGUCUCAAGACUAGCCAUGCACGUCUAAGUACAAACUAAAUGAUGGUGAAACUGCAAAUGGCUCAUUACAACGGUUAUGAUGUACCCGGGAGUUCCGAUGGAUAUUUCCAGUAACACUAGAACUAAUACAUGUCCCUGCGUUUAUUAGUUUCGCACAGUCCGUCGCUGAGUCAUGGUAAACAGUUGAUCGACUCGACGUCCCGGAACAGUUUCCGCCCCAUCAGCUUCGAUGGUUGGGUAUUGGCCUACCAUUGCAACAACGGGUAACGAGGAAUUAGGGUUUGAUUUCGGAGAGGGAGCCUGAGAAACGGCUACCACAUCUACGGAUGGCAGCAGGCGCGCAAAUUACCCAAUGCAGACACUGUGAGGUAGUGACGAGAAAUAAUAAAGCGGGACUUCUGUUUCGCUAUUAUAAUGAGGAAUAACCAAAGGUCAUUCCGAUUAGCAACUGAUGGGAAAGUCUGGUGCCAGCAGCCGCGGUAAUACCAGCGUCAGUAGC
rnacentral:rRNA from 1 species